rnacentral:rRNA from 1 species
CGGGCCGUUCUGCGAUUGGAUGUACCUAGGUGGGAGUUAGCUAGUUGGUGAGGUAAUGGCUCACCAAGGCGACGAUCCCUACGCUGUUCUGAGAGGAUGAUCAGCCACACUGGGACUGAGACACGGCCCAG